UCAGGUGCCCAACCUCAACACGUUGGGUUAAACGGGAAGACUGGUAAGUUGUUGCAACAGAGCGACAGCAAAUCCAGCGCUGCCCCCGCAACGGUGAUCGGUCAUACCGUCGACAAUCUGCCACUGUGCAUAGCAUGGGAAGGCGUCGAUGGUGAGUAUAAAACUCAGACCGUAAGCCCGGAUACCGGCCUGAGUUG
rnacentral:ncRNA from 1 species